rnacentral:rRNA from 1 species
UACGUAGGGGCAAGCGUUGUCCGGAUUAUUGGGCGUAAAGAGCGUGUAGGCGGCCAUGUAGGUCCGUUGUGAAAACUCGAGGCUCAACCUCGAGACGCCGAUGGAAACCAUGUGGCUAGAGUCCGGAAGAGGAGAGUGGAAUUCCUGGUGUAGCGGUGAAAUGCGCAGAUAUCAGGAAGAACACCCGUGGCUAAGGCGGCUCUCUAGUACGGUACUGACGCUGAGACGCGAAAGCGUGGGGAGCGAACAGG